rnacentral:misc_RNA from 1 species
GAUUGGACCCAUAUAUUUACCAAUGGUAUCCCUAAAUAUUCCAUUCAAAAACUAAUAAUAUUUCUCUCUCGAACAUCUUCCUGACCAAGAUUGGGGGAAAAAAAGUAUAAGACAAAAGUAUAUCAUUUACAUGAUUUGCUUAUUCUAGUCAAGUAACUAAAGAUAAUUGCGAGUGGAUUUGAUUGGCGCCAGCAUUGACAUUCCAGAAGGAUUCUCUAACCCCACUUCAAUUAAAAAAAAAAAAUAUGUAAAAAUCGAAGGACAUAGCCAUCUAAUUAGUCCCCAUCUCCAGAGUACAGAGACCUACCUCAAAGUCUCUCACUUUCAAAACUUUCUUCUAUCCACCUAUGGAUGUCUA